GUAAUUUGUCUGAAUAAAGUAAUAAAUUGUAAAUUUAUUUAAAGAUUAUUUAAUAAUCUAAUUACUA
rnacentral:tRNA from 1 species